GUUGUGCUCGUUACGUAAACGAAGGGUAGCGCGUAGCGCCAUCUGGCCCACACCCGUCGUGUGCGGGGGGCCUGGCCGCGUCGUUCCUGGCAGUUGCGCGGUUGCGACUCGGCGGUGGAGCCCGGGCGGGGCCGCGAGGGGAGAGUGUGUGAGGAAGAGAGGAAGGACAAACGAAGCUCAGCCGCCGAGUGUAGAAGCAGUUGUACUUACUCUAGCUGUCGGAAGACAUUGCUUUUGAUUUGUGGCCGCUGAUAUGGCGAUUCUGGUACGGAAGCGCGGCGUAGGAGGUCAAGCUUGGCGUGAAAGUGAGUUUAGUGGGGGAAAAGUAAACAGCAGACUCCAACGCAAUUUUCGCACAAUAGUGCAUGUACUGCGCAUUCGUUAUGUUCUGUUGUUACUAGGAGAACGCUGUUUUAUGUGUAAUUUUCGGAGCCUGUAUGUCCUAUGCUUGACCCCUCUAGAAGUU